UUUAGGUUGAAUGCAAACAUGCCAUUCUGAUGUUAUGUGUGAUGUCACAAAGAGGAUAUGCUUUAAGUCUUGGUAAAGCCAGAAACAGUUAACAGUCAGACUGCAUCUCAGCCCUGUCAAGACAGAUCUCCAUAGCAGGUGAUGAAUAGUUUUAUUUGGGGGAUAUAUUAACUUUUACUAUUGGGGAAAAGUUUUAGAUUGGUUUGCCAGUUUGUAACCCAUCAAGUUGAGGCCAAUAAAUAUGCAUUCACAACUCUGUGCACAUCAAACAAUCAACUUUAUGUGUGGCUUUGGGACGGAUUCAUACAACCACAUGAAGAGUCGGACAUGACUAAUCAACUAAACAACAACAACAACAAAUCAGUUGUGUGCAUUUCUGAUCUUACCUAAUAACCAAUCUGUUGACAGGUAUCUACACACUUAGUUGUGAGAGACAAACAUGGACAUUUGCUGGUUCAUCUCUAGAUAAUGAUGAUGAUGAUGAUUGUAGGGCACCAAAUACUAGAUAAGGUGAGCUGCAAGUGGAUGUGCACUAUUGCUUGUGAUAUUUUGUUCAGCAUGGUAUAUUUUUCCAUUGAACAUAUUUAUGAGAAAGUGGUUGAUACGGAGAUCAUCUUGGUAGGGAUGGUGCAAUGUGCACUUUGAGUUUCUGAAAGACUCUGACAUUAAAAACCUGUACAUAGUAUGCCAUUUCUGUAAUCGUAAUGCUGUAUUUCAGGAAUGUUCAGCCCCCUGUAGAAAACUACAGCAAAAUAUAAAGAAAGUUGCAAGAGCUAUUUAUAUUUUCCUCCAAGUCAUUUGCAAAGCUUAAUUAAAAGAAAUCCAUCAAGCCCUCUUCACUCUUUAAAAAGUGAUUAACUACAACUCCAACCUAGUAUAAUUAUGUCCUUCAGACUGUCUUCUUGGUGAUUGAGACUUCUCUGAAAUAUAUUAGAGAGAGAAAAAAUCUCAAAAUCCCUAAAAGAUUUAAGGAACAUUUAGCUCACAGAUUGAUUAAUCAGAGUUCAAUUCCACUGGUUUACACAUAUUUGAGAAGGUUCCCUUUUUUGUUGAUGAUGAUUCCAUUGAUUUUUGUGGCGCUUCACAGAAUAUAUAUGGGAUCUGUUUGUUUCAAAUGAUUCUAUCCUUCAAACAUACGUCCUUGGAACAAGAAAUAGGACAGUGACCCUACCCUGCACAUUUUUUUAAUUAUAUGCAGAAGAUAGGAGCUUUGAUUCCCAUCAUUAUGUGGCUGAGAUGCCUACAGAGCUACCAUUUCCAGUUUAGUUUAAGAAUAAAUCAUUCUCCCCAGGGAAUUCUGGCAAUUGUAAGUCUGUGAGGGCAAUAGAGGUUUCCUAACAACCGGCAGCACUCUCAACAAACUACAGUUCCCAAGAUGAUCUGGGGGAAACCAUGGCUGUUUAACAUGGUAUGGCAUUGCUUUCGAUGUAUAGUGCUAAUGGGGCCUUAGGCUAAGGUGGGAGCAGAUGGCGCUGUGGUCUAAACCACCGAGCCUCUUGGGCUUGCUGAUUGGAAGGCUGGCGGUUGAAAUCCCCAUGAUGGGGUGAGCUCCCAUUGCUCUGUCCCAUGCAGUCUAACACUCAUCACGGUGUCCCGUUGCCCCAGAAGCAGAUUAGUCCUGCUGGCCACAUGACCUGGAAAGCUGUCUGUGGACAAAUGCUGGCUCCCUCGCCCUGAAGCAAGAUGAAUUCUGCACCCCAUAGUCACCUUUGACUGGACUUAACUGUCCAGGGGUCCUUUACCUUUCUUAGCUUUAACUAGACUAAGGCAUUUCCUUUAUUUAUACAAGGUAUGUGAUAAGUUUACAGGAUAAUAUUAAUCCUCCAAGCACUGUGAGAAGUACACAGAAGAACAAAACAGCUUUAGAAGUUUGCAGGGGAAAUAGAAGAGAGAGAGAGAGAAAGAGAAUGUCAGCAGUAUUGCUCCUACUACAAUUUACCUCUCUUACUGCAUUAUGUUGGAUAGAGUCCAGACUCAGCAAUAUGUCUUGGAAAAAAUGUUCCACAUUUUGUCUUUAAGCUAACUGUGAAAGCAGCAAGUUUCUCAAGGCCUUUAUCCCUCCUCUUGUGCUGUACUUUUAAAAGUGUCUUUGCUGUUUUGGUGCACCCCAGUGCACCAAUCUGAUGUUAUUAUCAAAGUCUCAAAAUAAAAGCUGCAUCAGUCUGCACACAGGAGAUUUGAUCUCUGACAAAUAAGUUUGUGUCACCACACUUAAAAAAACACACAUCUCUUUCUUCUCUGGUCAGCUUUUGGUAGGCUUAUUUUCUGAUUUCUGGAGAAUGGUUGCGAGCUAUGAAGAUGUGAAGAAAUAUUGUAAACAACAUACACGGAAACCUGUGGGCCAUAUUUUGCUUUAAAAAGCACCGUUCAUUUUUAUUUUUUUUUAUCCUCCACAAAUUUGUCUAACCCCCUUUUAAAGCCAUCUGGGUUGGUGUCUAUCAUCUCGUCUUGAGAUAGCAAAUUCCACAUUUUAACUAUGUGCUGUAUGGAAAAGCACUUUCUUUUGACUUUCCAGAAUCUCCUAUCAUCCUUAGAUUGCCCCAUAGAAGGUACCAUUUGCAGCAUCCUGAAAAAAAUGUUCACCACCACCACUGUCAAUUGCAGGGGUCAGCAAACAUUUUCAGCGGGGGCCGGUCCACUGUCCCUCAGACCUUUUGGGGGGCCGGAUUAUAUUUUGGAGGGGGGGGGGGAAGUAACAAUUUUUGCCCACCCCCAAGAGGCCUGAAGAUGCUUCACUUUACCUGUCCCAGUUGUCAUCCCAAUAGCCACAGUUGGGCUUCUCCAGCCAGCCAGGUGCCAUGGCAGGGUAGGAGGCUGCGUUGGCUGGCAAAGAAAGAAGAAGCAGCCCUGGCGGAGGAGCCAUGGACAGACGUAGGGGAACCGGGGCAUCGACAGAGCUUUUACCCACCACCUGCUGCUGCUGCUUCCCAAGAGGGACCAUGGAGAAGAAGACUGUUAUGUACUGAAGUUCUCACCCUGGGCCAGCAGGGGGAUACUGUAGAUAGCUUUUACUCAGGUCCACAUAUGCAAAUAAGGGAUUGAAAGUGACGUUCAGUGAUUGGCUAGUUACAGGAAGUUGCUACUGUUGCUUUGUAGUUGAGCUCUGUAUAAGCAGGUUGGCUGAACCCUUCAGUUCAGUUCUGUUCUGGCCUGUGAAUAAACAAGAGCUGUUUGAAGAAUCACUGUGUUGUCUGAUAUGUCGUCUGACAACUUAACAAAGACAGAGUCAUCUGCCAACCCACAAGUGGCAGCCGUGGCCUCCGCAACAGCCCACCUGAACGCCAUGUCAUGGGUGGAAUGAAGGAGAGAGGCAGGCAGGUGGUGACAAAGAAAGCGUGCAAGGAAGUGGCAUGGAGAAGGGGCGCAGAGAAGGAAGGAAGGGCAGACUGAGGGAGAGGGAGAAGGAGCAGGAGCAGCCAGCAGCCAGCAUCACACACCCCCUUCACAGCACCACCCUGCUGAGGCGAGCAGGUGGACGAGCCGACUCCUGCCGUUGACAGCACCAGGCGUGGGACAAGAUUGCUCCGUCCCUGAGGAGAAAAGUGCCGCAGUGUGAGGGAGAGGGAGGGAGAGGGAAAGAAAGUGUGCGCUGGUGAUCCACACGCUGGUGAUCCACACGUGAUUCCUGGACUGUCUGCUGGCCGGAUCUAGAAGGCAAUUGGGCCUGAUCUGGCCCGUGGACCUUAGUUUGCUGACCCAUGGUCUAUUGGAAUAGUUUCCCUGCCUCUGCCAGAAGAAACUACUGGUACUACUGCUUUCUCCUUGUUGCUUUUGUUAUGUAUUUUGUGUUUUUAAUUUUGUAUUUUUAUGCUGUGAACUGCCCUGAGAACUUUGGUUGAAGGGUUGUAUACAAACUUAAUAAAUAAAUAAAUACCGUAUUGGCCUGAAUAUAAGCCACACUUUCCCCCCCCAAAUUCCAACCAUGGAAAGUUAAAGUGCGGCUUAUAUUCACAACCUUACGACAUCACUGCUGAAACAGCUGCUCUAGGUCUGUGGCCCUGCCUUGCUCUCCAAGGCCGGAAUGGAAAGCGCCAUCCCCCUGCCCAGGAUGCCACCACAGGGCUGUUGGGGGUCGGGACAACGGUGCCCAUCCUGCCCAUUGCUCCCAAGCCUCCCCAGAGCCGUGAGAAAGAAGGGAGGGGGGAAGGCUGCCAGCAAAGCAGUGCCUUUCCCCCUCCCCAGGAAGCAGCCCGGGAGCGUGAGUGCCUGCAGAAUUUUAAGGGAGCGGCUUAUAUUCGGGUAUUGUCUCUCCCCCCUCCCCCCCCGAUUUUUUAAAGUUGUGGCUUAUAUUCGGGUACGGCUUAUAUUCGGGCCAAUAUGGUAAAUAAAUAAAAAUUCAAAAGUCAUUGCACGGUGGCACUGUUUCACUGGGUGAGUUCUAACAGAUUAUUUAUUUAGCAAAUUUUAUAUAGCCCCUGGUUGUUAAUACAACUGCUAAGUGGGUUGCAAAGUCAACAAACAAAUGUUAAAAUUGUCUAUGAAAGUCAAAGUUGCAAUUUAAUUAAAAUCAACAGUUAAGAUAAGAAUAGAUUAAAGCACCCGUCAACUUCUGUAUGUCUGGAUAGGCUUCCAUAAACAAAAGGAAAAAUUAGCGGGUGCCUGCUUGAUGCCAAUAGGUGUCAAGGACUGGAAUGAAGAGGCAGGGGAAUGGUGGAGAUUGCCUCCCCAUUCUCCUGUAUCUGACAGGGGAGAGAGAAACAGCAUUGAAUUGCAGCCAAGCCAAGAGGGAGAUAAUGAGGCAGAGAUGGGCAAGCAGCCAAGCUAUGAGGAGUUAGGAGAAGUGAAGGGGGGGGGGAGACAGAAUAGCCAGGGAACACUUCAUUAGACAGCAUAGAGGAUCCCCCAUCCCCUAAAACACGACUGUCUUAAAGGGUACAAGAGCAAUGUAUGCAGAGGCGUUUGUCAAUGGGAGGCUUCCAUAGGGGCCAUUGCUGUUGGAGAAGGGGAAAGGAGGAGGAGCCAGAGUGAGCAACUUCAUUAUGGAGGAAAGACUGGGAUUCUUUGCCUGUUACCGCAGUGACUGAAUAAAUCAUAAGGAAAAGCUUUCUUGUUUCCUCCCGGCUCCUUGAAACCAUCGGGAGGGGAGGGGGAGAAUUCUGACAAUAGGCUGGGUAUUCUAAAGUUUCUUCCAUAGCCACAGCCUCAACUCAAACAAUGCUCUCAAACAUUGCCCUGGCUCUCUCUCCAGUUUGUAGCUUUACCUUUAGGUCACAUCACUGCUACCUUUGCUCCAAACUCUAGCCUUUUCCAUGGAGGGAGAGGGACACACAUAUUUACUGUCUCUCACAGAGCCCAUUAAUCCUCUUUAAAGCCUCGUCACCCAGACUACCAUCUCACCAGAAGGCUAGCCUGGCUAUUCCAAUAAUGAAAAGCCUUCUAAAACUUGCUAGAUAGAGGGAUCAGAUGGGUCUGGUACCUAGCUUAACAUCCCAAACUCAUAACAUUAUCUUUAAGUGUCAGGCAGAAACACUAGUUUAUAACCAGGCCUUUGGGUUGAUUAAAUAAUCUAUGGCCUAUUAAAUGUGUUUGAGGGAGAGGGGUUAUUGAUUUAUCUUUGUUUUUCGUUAUGUAUUUUGUGUUUUGUAUUUUUAUGUUGUGAACUGCUCAGUGAUCUUCAGAUGAAGGGCACUAUACAAAAUUAAGAAGAAGGAAGGAAGGAAGGAAGGAAGGAAGGAAGGAAGGAAGGAAAGAAAGAAAGAAAGAAAGAAAGAAAGAAAGAAAGAAAGAAAGAAAGAAAGAGUUUGUGCCUAGGAGAGGAGAAGGAAUAAAAUAUUGAGUUGUAUGGAGAUCUCCUUUCAUGAACAUUACCCUGUGGGCUCCCUAUUUGUGAAAUUAUUGUGCCUACCAUUAGUUACUUUCAAAAAUUACACCAUAUAAAUAACAUUCCCCACACAAUGGGGUUGGGAACCAUUGCAAAGUUGAGAUUAUUUGGAGGGAAUGCACUAGCUUGUCAAGUGAAUUUCUUAGAGUAUCUCCAACGGAAUAAUUUGAAUUGGCCCAGCUUUUGUCUUUGGGAGUUAGGAGCAACUUGACAUCUAGCUUAAACUAUAGAGACAAAUGAAAAAGAACAGUGAAGCAUGUCACAGGUUUACAGAUUCUGGACCAUCAAAAUGAUGUUCAGAAAUAUUUCAGCCUACCUGGAUCCCUUUGCAGUUAUUUUUAUCUAUGUUUGUAGAUGCUUCUGAUGUGAACAUGUAAGCUGAGCACAGUAUUUUCUCCCUGUGGUAUAGAACCUAAGUAAAGAUCUAAGUCCAUCCAAACCAUUCUCCUUAUCUCAGGUAUAUUAUGAUAGUUAACUAGAUGUUUGCCCACAGAAAGAGCAAAGAAACACUAUUUCCUCAUGCAAGAGGCUGAACAAAUAGCAAGAUCUUUCUUUCAUCUCAGUAACUAUUUGAAGUCAAUGUGGAAGACGUUAGAGCUACAUUUAAGGAUGUAAGAAGGCAACAUCUUCCAUUCCACGCUGAAAUUGUGGCAUGAAGCCCUGUUUCUUUUCUGCUGCAGUUCAUCUUCCAUAAAAAAACCUGAUCAGCUAGAUACUAAACUUGCUGUCUGCUGUGGCAAAAUUAUGUAACAUGUAAUUCAUUGCGUAAAAUACAUUAUUAUUGUUAUUCCACUCCAUUCAUUUCAGCGCAAAGGAAAUGUACCUGUUGGACUGAUUUUUGUUCCAGACAUGGCAAUUUCCGCUCUUGUUUCUGGCAGAAUUUUCUGAUAUCCCUUACACAUCAUGAAUGCAUAGCCUUCUACCUAUUAUAUAACCCUUUGCUUUACAUUUCAUUACUUUAGCCAGACAGUCCACAUACCCUUGUGUCAGAUUUCUAAUUAUCAUGUGCUCAUGAUGAUAACCUGGAGCACUCUGAAGACAUGCAAUGUUAGGGUGACUGAAUAAGGUCAUUUUCAGUGAAACAAAAAGCUACCUGAGUGAUUUUUAAUUUCUCUACAUUGUGAUACUCUCCAAACGCCUUUUGACUGGCCGGUGUUACACAUGCUCUGGUUGCUUUUGCCACAGUCCAGCACAUAGGUUAAGAGCAUGGAUCUCUCUAUGAAUUGGACCUCAUACAUAACAAAAGAUAUUGGCUCAGGGGGGAAUUCCAUUCAAAACCCAAGAUGCAUUUCAGUCAGCAUUGUCAUGGGGCCAUCCACUUUACCCAUUGCUCAGCACCAGCAACAUAGGGACAUAAAAUGAUCCUGCAGGAUCAGGCAAAUGGCAUAUCCAGUCUAGCAUCUUGCUCUCACAGUGGCCAGCCAGAUGUCUGUGAGAUGUCUGCAAGCUGGAAAUUAACCCAAUAGCACUCUGCCUACCUGAAACUCCCAACACUAGUAUUCAGAGCCACACUGUCAAAUCCAGCAACCCACAACAAUCUCGCUUCCGAGCACAAUUCAAAGUGUUGGUGCUGACCUUUAAAGCCCUAAAUGGCCUCAGCCCAGUACACCUGAAGGAACAUCUCCACCCCCAUUGUUCCAGCCCGGACACUGAAGUCCAGCACCGAGGGCCUUCUGGUGGUUCUCUCAUUGCGAGAAGUGAAAUUACAGCAAACCAGGCAGAGGGCCUUCUCGGUAGUGGCGCCCGCCCUGUGUAAUGCCCUCCCAUCAGAUGUCAAAGAAAUAAACAACUAUCUGACAUUUAGAAGACAUCUGAAGGCAGCCCUGUUUAGGGAAGUUUUUAAUGACUGAUUUUUUAAUGUAUUUUUAAUAUUUUGUUGGAAGCCGCCCAGAGUGGCUGGGGAAACCCAGCAUGAUGGGCGGGGUAGAUAUUAUUAUUGUUGUUGUUGUUGUUGUUGUUGUUGUUGUUGUUGUUAUAUCUCACAAACAGGGGAGAUCUUCUCACGUUGCAACAAGACUGCAAAAAACGGUUACACAUGAGGCCUUUAUCUCUUCACUGGCAUUUAUUUAUCUGCUUCCAUAAUGAAGAGUAAUCAGGAGAAGAAGAAAGAAACAGUAGGAAGAAAGACAAUUACCUUGCUGCGAGAAACUCCUGAGUCUUCAGGCUGUAUUAAACUUGCUGCCUCUAAUUAGUAUCAGUCAUACUUCUUAGAGUCCUUUGUAGAUCUUCAAAAAGAGCCCCUACUUCAUGUUGCAGUUCCAUCUCUCUAAGAAGCUUCAGGUGGUUCUGGGAAAGGUACAUCUCAAUUGAUAUGACAGGAGGCUUUACAAAAGGAGAGGUAAGUAUCAUAAACCAGCUUGAAAAAGGAGGAGAAGAAUGGGGUGGAUGGUUAUGUAGUUGGAUGCAAGAAAAUGAGAGAGAUGGGGAGGAAAUAAGAAAGAAUAAUAGGCAGGUAGCUAAAAAGUAAAUGAAAGGCAAAUGAGUACUUGCUGCUUCCUGAUAAAUGCGCAAUAGAAAUGUUCCCAAAAUAAGAGCAGUUUUUAUGAUAUCACUAUAAAGUCCCCUAUUAAGUCAGACUUUUUGGCUAACCUUUAUUAUCCUAUUUCCAAAGCAUCUUUCUGCUUUUCCCAUCCAAAUUGCCCUCAAAUGAAAUUUCAAAAAAACAGGUAUAUUACUACACCUAUUUGUGAGGGUAUAGCUGUUCUGUUUUUUUGUGUUUUUUUUACUCACUUUUGGAAGUUUAUGACAUGUCACAAAUGGGUGUAGAGCUGACUUAUAGCAUGUUCAAAUAUUAUCCUGCUUCCUUUCUGUUUUCAUGAUGGAUGAUUUCAGUAGUGUGUGUGUUUCCUUUUUUUGUAAAGCAUUGUCAAUGUAAAGCAGGAGCAUAUUUUGUGUGUGAAGACAAAACAAUACAUCUACUCAGUUGCUCUGGACCAGGAUGCUGUGAUUGAAGGAUCUUAGAUGCCCAAGUGGUUUCUAGCAAGCUUAAAAACCCGAAGCACCUCCUUAUUUAAAAAUGACAUCUUAAAGGGUCUGUCAAACUGCUCCAGGCAUUCUAUUCCACAGUACACACUGAGUUACUUCCCUGUCUUUUCAUCUUGAAACCAGUCAGAAUUUUUUGAAGCAUAUUCUGCAAACAAACACAUGUGUUCUUGCCCUUGAUCUUAACGGGGGGCGGGGGACAGGACGACAAUGAAGAUGACUGCAACAGAGUACUGUGGAUUUACAAGCAGUUGAUAAAUAAAAAUUUAAAAUAAUAUUGGACCCACACCCUAGGCCAAUCCCAACCUCUCUCACCACCAAAGGAACACAUGUGAAUAGCAAAGAACCUGUACAAGUGAUGCUGCCACAAACCCCCACAUAUAUUAAGUAAAAUAGAAACAUCGUUACCCAACCCCAUCCCCACUCACCUCUCCCCCCUUCACCUCUCUCCCGCUUUUCUUCCUAAUGUCUCAACAAGCAAAACUGAUCUGUAAAAAUGUUACUUGAAAAAAAGAGAGAGAUAUACAUUGUACAUACUUUUGUAGACCAAGAAAAUCUUUAAUAAAAAUACAUUUAAAAAAGAUAAGAAAAUAAUAAUAAUAAUAGUAAUAAUAAUAAUAAUAUAGUGGUACCUCGCGUUACAGACGCUUCAGGUUACAGAUGCUUCAGGUUACAGACUCUGCUAACCCAGAAAUAGUACCUUGGGUUAAGAACUUUGCUUCAGGAUGAGAACAGAAAUCGUGCUCCGGCGGCGUGGCAGCAGAGGGAGGCCCCAUUAGCUAAAGUGAUACCUCAGGUUAAGAACGGUUUAAGGUUAAAAACGGACCUCCAGAAUGAAUUAAGUUCUUAACCCGAGGUACCACUGUAACUAAUAAUAAUAAUAAUAAUAAUAAUAAUAAUAAUAAUAUUGGACCAAAGAGAAACAACUACAGCCUUAUGUGUGUGCUGUUGAAAUGGUCAUAUCUGUAUUUUCAUCAACUGUGGUGCUUGUUUAGGAUGGAAUGUCUGAAUGCCUCUUUCAACAGCUAUCAAAACAUGCACCCCUCAAGGGCCAGUCACUGCUGUGUGUGACUCCUUCUUGGUCAUCUAUCAGCAAUAGAUAGGAAUGCAAGAAGGCAUUGUUCCUUAUCCCAUCCUGUAUUCCUUGCACUGUUGCCAUUCUGUUGCAGCUUGUUUUCCACCAAAAGCUAUAUUAUUCAUCUCACUAUCUAUUGGGGCAAAGUUAUAUAAGUUAUGUUGUCAUUAUGUUGUUCCACCUCAUUCAUUUCAAAUCAAAGACAAUGAAAAUGGGGUGUAGUCAGUUGCAUAUCAUUUGUGUACUGAUAGCAGCAGCAGCAGCAACAACAACAACAACAAAAAACAAUUGCAUUUGCUGGACUGAUUUCUGUCCCAGAUAUGGGACAAACAAACAAAUCUUUAAUUGCUUUUUAAUGAUUCUUUUUUCAAUGUUUUUAGUUGUUUCAGUUUAAUCUGCAAGCCACCUUGGGUUCUUCUCUGGGAAAGAGGAGGGGUAUAAAUAUCAACAAGAACAACAAGAAUGAUGUAUAGAUGGUACUUAACUCCUGUAAAAUUAGCAAAGAUUUAUCACAAUAAUGAUAAUCUCUGCUGGAAAUGUAAAGAAAAAGAAGGUACCUUUUUCCAUAUGUGGUGGAAAAGGUGAAAGACUCCUGGGAGAAGAUUUAUAAUGAACUGAAAAAAAAUGUUGAAAUAUACAUUUAUUAAGAAACCAGAGGCCUUUCUUCUUGGAAUAACAGGUUUGGAACUGCCCAAGAAAGAAGUUAAAUUGUUUUUGUAUGCCACAUUUGCUGCUCGAAUUUUAUUAGCUAAGAAUUGGAAAACACAAGAAGUACCAACUGUGGAAGAUUGGUAGAUGAAGAUGAUGGACUUUUCGGAGCUAGCCAACCUGACUGGAAGAGUCCGCUACCAGAAGGAGGAGGACUACCAGGAAGAAUGGAUGAAAUUUAAAGACUAUUUAGUUAAAUAUGCUAAAUUAACCUAAUUGGAAAGCUUGCAAAUACCAGAUAGGCUUAGGAUUAAAAUUUAUAAUGUGAUGAAUUAAUAUGUUUAAAGUUGAAUUGUUAAAAAAGAAAGAUGUUAAGUCAUUAAGUUAAACUUUUAAGAAUUUAGGUUUUGGAAAACCGUUAAAAUGAUAUAUACUGAAAUUCAACCGGGGGAUGCAAGGAAGCCACUUAACAAUGUUAUGAAGUUCGAUUUAAUUACAGUGGAGAUGUAUGUUUUUCUGUUUGUUUGUUUGUUUGUUUAUUUGUUUGUUUUAAAGAAAAAUUCUGGAAAAUCAAUAACUUUUUUGAAAAAAAAACAACAAGAACAACAAGAGGUAAGAGCUGUUCAACAGUGGGAUGAACUCCCCCAGAGGGUGGUGGAUUCUCCUUCCUUUGAGAUUUUAAAGCAGAGGUUGAGUGGCCAUCUGACUUGGAAACCUUAGCUGAGAUUCCUGCAAUGCAGAGGGUUGGACUUGAUGACCCUCAGGGUCCCUUUCAACUCUAUGAUUCUGUGACUCAAACUGGAGAGAAGCAGCUUUAAAUGUGCACUCAGCAAUGAAGAUUACUGAGGGCUUGUCCACAAUUCCACUUGUCUCUUGCCUGGACAGCAUGGGUCUGAGCAGGUUUCUACAUAGGUCUAAGCGGUUUUCUGUUAGCUGCACAAGCAAUUCUGGCUUAAAACAGGACGAGCAUUUUCCACUUUAAAACAUCCAGUCUAGAGAACAGCAUCGGAUUCCUUAUUAUAAAUCUUUCACCGUCUUAUUUAGCUUUUCUGUUUGCAGGUUUGGUUCCCUCUCCCCACUGCAAAUCAACUCCACCCCCACCCCCCGCCAGGCUUGAUUUUUCACAAAUAGGACAAGUCUAUCCAAAUAUAUUAAAUAUAUUUACAAGGGGAUGAUGGAGAAAAGCAUUUUAAAAUACAGUGCGGUACCCAGGAGUAACAUUCUGCUCUUUGACUCGUUUCUUAUAAGCUUGGAAUUCCUCAUUCUGUCUUUUGAAUUCUCUAAGCCUAUUGCUGGUUGGAACAACUAAAGCCUUCUGGGCGAAAUCACCAAAUGUAAUCUAUGAUUGCUGUCUUGCUUUCCAAUUCACUUUGUUGAUGUCCUGCAGUGGAAGCAUCAUCCAAUUUAUAUUCAUGCAUCAGUUUAUCAUACCUUUCUCUCAUUUACUGGGAUGCCGUGAAUGUGAAAUGAAUACUUGGUAGGUGUUCUAUCCGGCGUACCUUUUUCCUACUCUGUUUAGGCUUCUGGGAUGCUGAAACCAGAUGAAAUUUAUAUUACAUUUCCUCCUUGGAUAUUCUGAAUUAUGCAGCCCACUUUAACAUCAGGAUGAAAGAAGAACUUCAACAGAGUGGAUCGUUCUAAAUAGAAAGGACUUUGGGCUGGUUUUUGUCACCGUUGUUGUUACGUAACAAAUAUAUAUCCUGCCCCAUGGCAAAUUAAAUCCACAGGGUGAUGCACAAUACAAUAAUCUGAACACCCAAAUGACCAUUAAAGUUUGAUUUGUUUUAAGAUCCAUCAUUGACAAACAAACAAACAAACAAACAAACACAAAACCCUGCCAUAAAUGCAAACAAAGGGCCAAGGCUCCACCUCAAAGGCCCUUUUCCCAUUUUCAAUGUGCCAGGAAUCUAUAGGUUAGACUGCUGUAACACACUUUAGAUGAAUCUGCCUUUGAAAUUCCAGAGGAAAAGCAUGGCAAGUGUCUCUAAAGCAGGGGUCAGCAAGGUUAACCUCGCCUGGGCCAGUUCACUCCAGUGGAGAUCCCUUUGUGGGCCGGAUUGCGCACAUGCAUUAGCAUGUGUGAUUUCCAUCUCUGCGCAGAUGCGAUUUUCAGCGCUGCAAAAGCCAGUCCCCGCACCGCACUGCGCUGGUUUAGUGCAGCACGGGGGGGACUCGCUGAGCAAGCGACUUGGUUCCGGGGUGGCUCGUGGGCUGGUUAAAUGACCCCCGUGGGCCACUUGUGGCCCAUGGGCCUUGGGUUGCUGACCCCUGCUCUAAAGAAUAGGGUGACCGUGUGUCCUACUUUACAGGGAACAAUCCUAUACAGUGGUACCUCGAGUUACAAAGCGGGUUCUCCUUCAUGGAGAGCACAUGUUGCAGUGGGGGCAACCAUGACAUCCCCUGUUGCUGGGCGGGUUAGUGUGGAUGGCCACAAAUUUGAUAGGGCACCUCCAAUUGUUGCUGGGGAGAAUUUAAUGUUGCAAAAUUAUUUGAUUGAUGGGGGUGCUAUUUAUUCCCUGUGCGCAGCAUUGAGCUUCCUCUUUUUGCUGCGCACAUCGGAUUACCUGCCCACCCUCCCUAUAUUUAGGGUUUCUUUGUGCUGACAUUGCUAUGCCUGUCAUGGGGUCGUCUGCUUUGGAAUGAAUGUGGUCCAUUUGGCUGAUUGGCAGGUGCCAUAUGGUUUUUUGCCUACUGCGUAGCAAAUCGUCACAACUUGUAAGGCUGCCGUUAGUCAUUGGUUAAUUUUGGUUGGUGGAGGGGAUGUGGUUGGCUGUGCCUGCCCUCCAAUGCUGCUGCUAAAGCAAUCCUGGGGCUCGCCAUGCUUUUGUCUGAACCCCUGGCAAGGGGCUAGGGCCACACAAGAGCCCCUGGGAACAUUUGGGAAGAGAUGAGAGCCUGGCACCCAGCUCUAUUCUCUCCACAAAAUGUUUACGCUAACUGACUUCUGCAGGCUUGUGGUUGUCAGUUCUGUUCCUACCUCUAUGUGGGAAUAGAUAGUCGUUAACCAAUGCCUAAGCAACCACUCACAUACUGUAAUUCAAUAAAGUUGUGUCCAUAAUUAUGCCAAAAACCAAAACAAAAAUGUUGUGUGAACUGUGUCUUUAACUGGGGGUGUCCUGGGGGGGGGGGGCUUGACAGGCGAAUGCCUCAGGCUACAAACUCUGCUAACCUGGAAGAGUUACCUCGAGUUGAGAACUUUGCCCCAGGAUGAGAAUGAAAAUCGUGAGUCGGCGGCGCAGCGGCAGCAAGAGGCCCCAUUAGUGAAAACACACCUCUGGCUAAGAACAGUUUCAGGUUAAGAACGGACCUCCGGAAUGAAUUAAGUUCGUACCUAGAGGUACCACUAUAUUUGAAUGAGUCCUCAGUUUGAAGAACUAUCCAUCCAAAUCUGUUUUAAAAACAAAGAAGACUUAUAAGAAGGAGAGCAGAGGUCCUGACACUGCCCAUCAACAGUUAGCACCAGGGACAUCAGAUUAAACAAGCACACAAGUCAUCCGGUCAGAGUUUUCCCUACAAUGAUGAGAUGUGUUGUAUUCCUGUCAAAUGCACAUGCAUGUCUUUGCUUUGGGGAAGUUACAGUCUCAGCCCAGUGGUGGCUGAGAGGAUAAAAUACAUUAAUUGUGUACAGGACUCUUCUGUGAGAUCUUCAACACAAGGCAGGAUAAAAUACAACCAACAAUUUACUUUAUAGCUUGCCUUAUGUCCUCUCCCCUUGCAUGUAUGUGGUUCCUCGGAUGACACAGUUGUUGCUACAUGGAAAAGCAAAAUAAACUGGCAUGGCAAGUUGGAAUGCAAAACCAUCAGGCAGGGAACAGUUUUGGCACCCCUCCCUCACCGCCUCUCCAUUUUAAACUUGUUAUAUUUCUUUUUUAAAAUCCAUCAGAGCUUCCUUAGUUACAUUUGCAUGCAAUGCAUUUGUUGCUUUUUAGAUAACGCAGUGACUUUGCAGUUGGUAUAUACUGACUCAUCAGUCAACAACAAUACUUGGUCAUGCCCUAAUUAUAUUUAUAAUUAUAAGAUAUAAUAUAAUUUCGAGCAUCUCUCUCUGGUGACAAAAAAGGUCAGUCAAAAUAUAUGGUGCAGUCAGAUUUCUCACACAUUCCAUUUUUAAUUUAGUUUAUCCAUGGCACAUUUAUUCAAAGACAAAAAGACAACUACUUUCUCGUCUCGGCACUCUUCAGAAAUAACUUUUGCUUUUAGGCCGACCAACUUCUUCCAUCUCUCUUUCAGAUUGGGGAUGAUGAACUGUUUCAGGUAUGCAUUAAAAAGAGAGUUAAAGAGUAUGCAUAUAUUCUGUUUAAUUCAUCACUCUCUUCUCAGCGGAGUAAAACGUAAGAGGAUGAAUGCUCUGUCGAAAUCAAACGUAGCAUAAUUUACAAAAGUUCCUUCACCUUAUAUUGUGAGUCACGACACUUAUAGUCGAAGCCUACAUUUGAUAAAAUCUCAAAAUUUCAAAAGCACAGCCACAUGCAAGUCCAUACACGCCAACAUUUCUCUAAUGAAAAUAGGGACGGCCCAUUCCAUAAUGAUAAUUUUACUAUUUAUGCCCCCCAACAUCUUACUGGGCUGCCCCAGCCAUUCUGCACAGCUUCUGACACAUAUAAAAACAUAAUUAAACAUUUAAAAACUUCCCCAUACAGAAUUGCCUUCAGGAGGCUCAGGGGUCGGAAAACUUCAUACCCUCCAACUUUUCUCCAAUGAAAAUAGGGACGUCCUAAGGAAAAGUGGGACAUGCUGGGUUCAAAUCAGAAAGUGGGGUGGCUUCUCAAAAUCCAGGGCAACCCUGGAAAACAGGGACACUUGGAGGGUCUGUAAGUCUCAUAAAACAUUGAACUCAUUUCAAUGUGCACAGUAGUUUAUUCCACUAUUCUGGCAUUCCCUUAACUGUUAAUUUCAGCAUUACCAGUAUAUUUGCACUUUCAAACAAUGCAAAAGCCAACAUGAAUAACACAAAUUUAGCACUCAUUUUCAUGUUAUUUGUAAACUCCCCGCCCCCCUCCGGAAGCAAAUAAUGCUGAAAUGACCACUAAACUUUCCCUACUUCUGCUGUGUUUCCAGAAGUGGCUUUUACAUCAUGUGAAAACUCAGGUACAAUGUGGGAAUUAACAGUUAUGGAAAUGUUAUGGAAUUGGAACACCUGGCUAUGUGAAUGCAGCUCUACACAUUAGGCAUUGAGACUAAUAAGAUUUAUGACCAAGUAGGGCAGUGUGGGGUGCUGGAGAGAUUGCAAAAGAUCAGAUAGAGGGGCUUGGGGUGGAGGGGUAUUGUUCAGUCUCUGCAUAGCUUUUGUGUGUUCACACCCAAAUACCUCCCCCCUAAAUAAAGUCACACUUGACUCAAAUUUUAGUUUUGGCUUUUGGCAGAAUUUAGGCCACAACUUUAUUGAUUACAGUAGGUGAGUGGUUGUAUAGGCUCUGGUUCGACUAGCUCCCUGCACCCUUGCAGGCAGCGCUGACCCAGAGCUCUAUCAUAGGGCAGCCAAGGGUGAACACCUGGUUAGGCAAAAGCCAGGAGCAGACUAUGUUCACCUCCCAGAUGACCCCCUGGACUCAGACACAGGCACAACCCCCUCUUGGGGGUUGACCAAACCAGGUGAGUCCCUGGAUUUAUUUAAGGGAAUAUCCUUCACAUAGGGAUGGCGAGACCGUUCUCCCAUCCCUAUCACCUGAAUCAGUGCCUAUCCGCAACCUUACAAGUUGUGACGAUUUGUUAUGCGGCAGGUGAAACCCAAAUGGCAACAGCCAAUCAGCCAAGUGGGGAAAUUCCUGCCGUGCCCCUGUCCCAAUGACAGACGACGCAUGACGGCAUAGCAAGAUCAAGCACACAAUGCCCUAAAAGUAGGGAGAGGUAGGUGGGUGUUCCGAAUGCACGAGCCAAAAGAGAAGCUCUGGGUCACGUGCAUAUGUAUAUAUAGGUCCCUCGACCCAUUUAGACUGCGCCCCAUUGGCCAGAUUGAACCCAACAUUGAGGGACCUACCAAUCGGGUGUUGUGGCUGACCAAUCUUACCCACCCACAACACAGGUGGUCAGUCUCCAGGUCUCACCGCAAUCAUGUUGUAAUGGGUUUAGGGGUUGCUCGUGCGUAAGUUGCCGCCACUCCUGGCUAGGUUACCUGGUUAACCCUUUCUGACUGAACAGCCUCCAGCAUCGUGACUGUCUCAGUCGCUGGCAGAAUCCGUCAGUGGGCGUUUCUUGAACCUUUUCCAGCAUAAAAGUUGUUUGACGCCAAGUCUCCUCCUACUCUCCCUGCGCGGAAGUCUUCUGCGCAGGGAGGGUGUGGACAGCGGAGUACCCGUACUCUCUCCGCUGGUCUCUGGCGAGGAGUCUUGGAGCCUCCUCUCCGAUUCCCCCAUCUGCCCCCCUUCUCCACUGGUGUUACGCUGAUUUCCUUCCCCAGCAGUUGGACUGCCUCUCUCCCUACUGGGACCCUCUCCGGCAUCCCUUUGGAGCCUUCCCUCCGCUUCUAGCUCCGAUGGCAGUUCCCUGACACAUGUCCUUUAGGGAGGACACAAUGUAACUAUACAUAGUGCCUAUAGGUAAAUCCAAAGCUAGCCUGUUGUCGUUUACUUAAUGUUUUUUGAAUAAGCAUGCUAGACCUUAAAAAUAAGCCAGAAUAAAGCUGGCAUGUUUCCUUUCUUAAUCAGGAAGAGUUUUAAUUUAAAAACAACAACAAAAAGCAGAUGGUGGAUACCCAAAGGGGAAGGAAGGGGGGGGAGAUAAUCUUCUUGCCAUCCUACUAGAUUUAAAUAGAGCAGUUGGCUGGCAGCAGUUGCAGAAGGAAAAUAUGUUGUUUCUUGGGCUGUGUAGCAUAUGUUCUUUUUAAGGCAAAACAUCAUUCCAGAAGUGGGAAAACAAGGAUCCAUUAUCCUACUACCUAAGUUAAAGAGGCGACAGUCCAUAGGGACAUAUACUAACACUUUCUAAAUACGUCCCAGUAUACAUAUCCAGGAAUAUUCCCUCUCCCUGUAUAUGGAAUUUCUCUGGACCAGUUCUAUAAAAGUAUUCAUUCUUUUGGAAGCUUCACAUGCCAUGAAAUCAGUUGCUGCUCAAGCAUCAGGGAAAUUGAAUAUAUGACAGGGAUGAGGAACUUGUGAUCUUCCCCAUGUUGUUGGACUGUGUCUCAUAUAAUCCCUGACCAUUUUCAUGGCGGUUCUAGGUUUACUCCAAAAAGAUAUUGAAGUCUUACUUUGGUAGGGAGGAGAUUUUUUUGGGGGGGGGCAAUUACUCCUGACACUAUAUUUAUGAUCAUAAAUAAAGACACAUAUAGCAAUAUGGAGUGAUACAUAUCGACAGUACAGUGGUACCUUGGGUUAAGUACUUAAUUCAUUCUGGAGGUCGGUUCUUAACUUGAAACUGAUCUUAACCUGAAGCACCACUUUAGCUAAUGGGGCCUCCUGUUGCUGCUGCGCUGCCAGAGAACGAUUUCUGUUCUCAUGCUGAAGCAAAGUUCUUAACCCGAGGUACUAUUUCUGGGUUAGCGGAGUCUGUAACCUGAAGCAUAUGUAACCUGAAGCGUAUGUAACCCGAGGUACCACUGUACUCCGUUACAUUCCCUACCCCCUACUUUUCUGUCUCCCCCCGCCCCACAUCACCCUAAUUUCCACUCCUGUCUCUGAUUUCUCUAACAUAACUAAUGCAAAUUAAAAAAUGGCAAUCAUAAAGAGAGCAUGGUGAAGAGAAAAAUUAGUAUCAAAAAAAAGUGCAAGAUAUUUGUAUAUGAGAGAUUUAGGAAUGUCAGGAAUGAACAUGGCGGAUGAAACAUUGUCAUAUAGAUUUAGGGGAUUUGAAAAGCAUCUUUGCCUGUGUGUUAAAAUGGUUUCUAAUAAACUCAUCCCACAGGCCCUGCAAAUGUGGACAUUUGCCCGGCAUUUUAUUUGAUGAGUGCUUAUAUUGAGUGAGGCAACAUCUUGUAAGUAUGCUGUUUCAUGGAAAUGGAACGGAGUGAAAAAAGUCUGCUAUAAAACUAGCAUUUUACUGCCACGAUGAAUACUGCCUACCUGUUUGAAAACUCAACUUUCUUGAGGUACAUUUGCAUAUUUGCUUUGAAAAUUUGGGGAUGGAAUUCAACAGCAUGCUAAAUUAAAUGUUGCUUAGUGAUGAGCUAGUUACCCUAGCAGUAUCUGUUGUGCAACUAAUUGUGCAACUAGACACAAGGGUUUGUUUUGUUUUGUUUUUUAAAAAAUAGCACAUCAGUCGGGAAAGGAAAGAAACAUCAUGCAUACACAAACACAUGGAAUACCUUGAUGACCCACAAUAAACAAUGCUUCUGGUUGUGCAAACUGUUGCACAAUGAAAUCUGCUAGCAAAACUGUUGUACUGAAUUUCACUUUGCCCAACCUCUUUUUGCAUCUUUGUGCUAGAACAAAAGCCUUUGCACAGGUGGUCCAAGAACACUGAAUUUACGUACUGCUGAAGAGACAAGCUGAAGAGACAAGCUUAAAAAAAGAAGUUUGCCUCUUCCGCACUGAAUUUCUCUUUGCACAACCUCUUUUUGCAUCUUUGUGCUGGAACAAAAGCCCUUGCACAGGUGGUCCAAGAACACUGAAUCUGUGGCACUGAUUUUAUGUACUGCUGAAGAGACAAGCCACUGUGAAGCUUAUAACAACAACAACUUAUUUUUUAUACCCCGCCCACCUGGCUAGGUUUCCCCAGCCACUCUGGGCGGCUUCCAACAAAACAUUAAAAAACAAUAGUCCAACAAACAUUAAAAGCUUCCCUUAACAGGGCUGUCUUCAGAUGCCUUGUAAAAGUCUGGUAGUUGUUUUUCUCUUUGACAUCUGGUAGGAGGGGGUUCCACAGGGCGGGUGCCACUACCAAGAAGGCCCUCUGCCUGGUUUCCUGUAACUUGGCUUCUCGUAGUGACGGAACCACCAGAAGGCCCUUGGCACUGGGCCUCAGUGUCCCGGCAGAACGAUGGGGGUGGAGAUGCUCCUUCAGGUAUACUGGACCGAGGCCAUUUAGGACUUCAAAGGUCAGCACCAACACUUUGAAUUGUGUUCGGAAAUGUACUGGGAGCCAAUGUAGGUCUUUCAAGACUGGUGUUAUGCUGUCUCGGUGGCCACUCCCAGUCACCAGUCCAGCUGCCACAUUCUAGAUUAGUUGUAGUUUCCAGGUCACCUUCAAAGGUCUCCCCACACAGAGCACAUUGCAAUAGUCCAAGUGAGAAAUAACUAGAGCAUGCACCACUCUGGCGAGACAGUCUGCGGGCAGAUAGGGUCUUAGCCUGUGUACCAGGUGGAGCUGGUAAACAGCUGCCCUGGACACAGAAUUGACCUGUGCCUCCAUAGAUAGCUGCGAGUCCAAAAUGAUUCCCAGGCUGCGCACCUGGUCCUUCAGGGGCACAGUUACCCCAUUCAGGACCAGGGAGUCCUCCACACCUGCCCACCUCCUGUCCCCCAAAAACAGUACUUCAGUCUUGUCAGGAUUCAACCUCAAUCUGUUAGCCACCAUCCAUCCUCCAACCACCUCCAGACCCUCACACAGGACCUUCACCACCUUCACUGGUUCUGAUUUGAAAGAGAGGUAGAGCUGAGUAUCAUCCGCAUACUGAUGAACACCCAGCCCAAACCCCCUGAUGAUCUCUCCCAGCGGCUGCAUGUAGAUGUUGAAAAGCAUGGGGGAGAGGACAGAACCUUGAGUCACCCUACAAGUGAGAGCCCAGGGGUCUGAACACUCAUCCCCCCCACCACUUUCUGAACACAGCCCAGGAGAAAGGAGCGGAACCACUGUAUAACAGUGCCCCCAGCUCCCAGCCCCUCUAGAUGGUCCAGAAGGAUGUUAUUGUUAUGGUUUGCCUCUCCUGCAGUGGGAACUGCACCAAUGUUCAUGUCACCACAUGCAUGGAGGACUUUAGAGCACUUGUACAAAGAUGUUUUCUCCACCUGCAGUCUGCAGUGCUACAGUCAAAAGUUUUAAUGCUAUAGUCUACCACCUUAUUUUAAAAGUGCACUGCAGAACACUCCUAUUUUCCCCUUAGACUUCAAGUUUCAUUGGAUGGUGAGUAAUUGUGGGCAAAGUGCCUUUCAGGGCAGUGGGUCUACCAUAAACUCAGCUUCUCAUUGAGAAAUCACUGAUAAGCUUCCUAGGGAUUCCAUUCUUUCCUGGAACAUAGCUUGAGAACUAUUGGUCCACACAAGGUCCUUAUCUGUAAAUUUGUAAAAGAGGUAUAUUCUACUCCUGCAAAAUAUUAUUAAUUCACAUUUCUCUCCCUUAAGAUAGAAAGCUGUUUUAUGCAGGAAAGUGAUGGACUCCCAAUAUCUGUUGUUACCGUGAACUUGCUUUUUUCAAUAUGAAGAGAUAAGAAGCACAUCUUCCAUAUUUAGAACUUGGAAUACAGUAGAUUGGUACUCAGAGCUCAGAGUUUGAUACAGCCAAGAUAGUGAUUAAUAGCACCUACCAAACCAGUCUCUCAAAUCAAUAUAACAUAGAUGCUAAUCAGAGCGUUUAUUUAACCACUACUGCACAUAAAAGUGCAGAAGAAUGAGUUGAUGCACGGCGAGCUUCAUUAGUAAGAUUUAUUUUAUAUUAUAUCGGCAUUUUCUAUCUUGAGAUUGUUUAAUAUAGCAUUUUCCAAUAUUUUAGCAAAAAUAUUUUUUCCCCUGUACUGAAUUAGCUUCAUUCCAGAAUUUCUGAAUGAGCUUGGGGACUGAUACAGGGAGUCCAGAAAAUAUGAAAGAUUACAAUGUAGAUGGUCCAGAUUCAGACCUUAAGGUAUUUCUGUAUGGGCGUUUCCCAUAUUGCUGGUUUGAUACCUUGUUGCUAAAUCAGACAUGCCAGAAAUAUUACCUGUUAAAAGGAUUAUGUGCUGUGGAAUUUCAACACCACCUCACCAUGUGAAGUAACAACAACAAGAAGAAGAACAAACCAGAAACUAGGCAUACCUCAAAUAGAUGUCAUUUUAUUUCUUGGUCCACAGAAAAAGAAAAUGGCAGCUGGAUGUACAAGCCAAUUGAGCAUGCAGUGUGUUACAAUGAGUCUAAGCAUGCUUACAUGGAAAUAAAUCUUAC